CGUAACUUCGGGAGAAGGCACGCUGAUAUGUAGGUGAAGUGAUUUACUCAUGGAGCUGAAAUCAGUCGAAGAUACCAGCUGGCUGCAACUGUUUAUUAAAAACACAGCACUGUGCAAACACGAAAGUGGACGUAUACGGUGUGACGCCUGCCCGGUGCCGGAAGGUUAAUUGAUGGGGUUAUCCGUAAGGAGAAGCUCUUGAUCGAAGCCCCGGUAAACGGCGGCCGUAACUAUAACGGUCCUAAGGUAGCGAAAUUCCUUGUCGGGUAAGUUCCGACCUGCACGAAUGGCGUAAUGAUGGCCAGGCUGUCUCCACCCGAGACUCAGUGAAAUUGAACUCGCUGUGAAGAUGCAGUGUACCCGCGGCAAGACGGAAAGACCCCGUGAACCUUUACUAUAGCUUGACACUGAACACUGGUCCUUGAUGUGUAGGAUAGGUGGGAGGCUUUGAAGUGUGGACGCCAGUCUGCAUGGAGCCAUCCUUGAAAUACCACCCUUUAAUGGCUGGUGUUCUAACGUAGACCCGUAAUCCGGGUUGCGGACAGUGUCUGGUGGGUAGUUUGACUGGGGCGGUCUCCUCCUAAAGAGUAACGGAGGAGCACGAAGGUUAGCUAAUCCUGGUCGGACAUCAGGAGGUUAGUGCAAAGGCAUAAGCUAGCUUGACUGCGAGAGUGACGGCUCGAGCAGGUGCGAAAGCAGGUCUUAGUGAUCCGGUGGUUCUGAAUGGAAGGGCCAUCGCUCAACGGAUAAAAGGUACUCCGGGGAUAACAGGCUGAUACCGCCCAAGAGUUCAUAUCGACGGCGGUGUUUGGCACCUCGAUGUCGGCUCAUCACAUCCUGGGGCUGAAGUAGGUCCCAAGGGUAUGGCUGUUCGCCAUUUAAAGUGGUACGCGAGCUGGGUUUAGAACGUCGUGAGACAGUUCGGUCCCUAUCUGCCGUGGGCGCUGGAGAAUUGAGGGGGGCUGCUCCUAGUACGAGAGGACCGGAGUGGACGCAUCACUGGUGUUCGGGUUGUCAUGCCAAUGGCAUUGCCCGGUAGCUAAAUGCGGAAGAGAUAAGUGCUGAAAGCAUCUAAGCACGAAACUUGCCCCGAGAUGAGUUCUCCCUGACUCCUUGAGAGUCCUGAAGGAACGUUAAAGACGAUGACG
rnacentral:rRNA from 1 species